CAGUCGCGUUUGCCGGGACUCAGCCUUGCUUCUGCUUGGUGCAUUUCCUAGUCUACGGGCCAGCAUGAAUCUUGAGCGGUGGAAAAGGGUUUGGGGAAUGUGGCACCUCCGGGUGUGUUAUAGCCCCUUGCUGUAUACACUGGUUGGGAUUGAGGUUUCAGUGCACGCUUCGGUUGUGCUUUGAUGCUGGCGUAAUGGCUUUAAGCGACCCGUCUUGAAACACGGACCAAGGAGUCUAACAUAUGUGCGAGUGUUU
rnacentral:rRNA from 1 species